UGGGCUAUGGUGUAAUGGUAGCACAAGACAUUUUGGUCGUCUUAGUCCUGGUUCGAAACCGGGUAGCCCAACCA
rnacentral:tRNA from 1 species